rnacentral:rRNA from 1 species
UAUUGGACAAUGGGGGGAACCCUGAUCCAGCGACGCCGCGUGAGUGAAGAAGUAUCUCGGUANGCAAAGCUCUAUCAGCAGGGAANNCCNNNANGACGGUACAUGAGUAAGAAGCCACGGCUAACUACGUNNNANANGCCGCGGUAAUACGUAGGGGGCAAGCGUUAUCCGGAAUUACUGGGUGUAAAGGGAGCGUAGACGGUGAUGUAAGUCUGGAGUGAAAGGCGGGGGCCCAACCCCCGGACUGCUCUGGAAACUAUGUGACUGGAGUGCAGGAGAGGUGAGCGGAAUUCCUAGUGUAGCGGUAAAAUGCGUAGAUAUUAAGAGGAACACCAGUGGCGAAGGCGGCUCACUGGACUGUAACUGACGUUGAGGCUCGAAAGCGUGGGGAGCAAACAGG